CCUACGGGGGGCAGCAAUUAGGAAUCUUGCGCAAUGGGGGAAACCCUGACGCAGCGACGCCGCGUGAAGGAUGAAAUCCUUCGGGAUGUAAACUUCUUUUAUUUGGGAAGCGGUACCAAAUGAAUAAGCCCCGGCUAACUACGUGCCAGCAGCCGCGGUAAUACGUAGGGGGCGAGCGUUGUCCGAAUUUACUGGGCGUAAAGAGCAUUAGGCGGUUUCUUAAGUGAGUGGUGAAAGGUUAGGGCUCAACCCGAACACUGCCAUUCAUACUGGGAGACUUGAGUACGGGAGAGGCGAAUGGAAUUUCUGGUGUAGCGGUGAAAUGCGUAGAUAUCAGAAGGAACACCCAUGGCGAAGGCAGUUCGCUGGCCUGUACUGACGCUGAGUGCGAAAGCGUGGGGAGCAAACAGGAUUAGAUACCCUUGUAGUC
rnacentral:rRNA from 1 species